rnacentral:rRNA from 1 species
UACGUAGGGGGCUAGCGUUAUCCGGAAUUACUGGGCGUAAAGAGCUCGUAGGUGGUUUGUCGCGUUGUUCGUGAAAACUCACAGCUUAACUGUGGGCGUGCGGGCGAUACGGGCAGACUUGAGUACUGCAGGGGAGACUGGAAUUCCUGGUGUAGCGGUGGAAUGCGCAGAUAUCAGGAGGAACACCGGUGGCGAAGGCGGGUCUCUGGGCAGUAACUGACGCUGAGGAGCGAAAGCGUGGGGAGCGAACAGG